ACCAUACUCUUGAAUAUUAUUCCCAUGAUGGGCAAAAUUGUAUUUACUAAAGAUCAAGUAUUCAGUAGAAAAGCUGUUUGGUUAUUUAUGUUGUAGUAAAUAAUCAACUACUCAAGUAAUUUGGAUGUCACUAAAUACCGAGUAUGACAUACUCUGGACAAAUAUAUUUCAUUAUUUUCACAGGAAUAAAUAAUGAGUAUAAACGUAUUUAGCUGCUUUUGUCUAAUAAAAUACCGGCUUCACUAAAUACUGAUACAAUUGUACCUAGAAUUUAUAGCUUCGCUAAAUAUUGUAUACGAACCAGAUAACCAGAAGUGCUGAAAAUUUCGAGACCCUGAAAAAAUCUGGAAUAUCCCGAAAGAUACCAAAAAAUAUGAAACCAAGAACCCCGAAAAAUCAAAAAAAAAAAUAACAAGCCGUAAAAGUCACAAAAUAAAAUAAAUAAUAAGAGGAGAAAAACUUACAUUUGACAACAAAAACUUUGUAAUGGCAUUGAUCAUAAGUUGACAUUUCAUAAGUGUUUAUUUUUCAUGGAGAAUCUGGAAUUCUUUUGUAUUCUUAAAAAAUGUUUUUUCUACAUUAAUUGUUGCUUGGUAAAACUCUACGAUAUUUACGUUUUGUUGUCCCUUUUUUUCAUGGAAAACUGAAAUGUACUGCUAUCACCAUUUUAGAAACUGGCCACCUUAGUGUAAGUAUACCCACACACACAUAUGCAUACAUCUAGAAUCUAGAACACACAUAAUUGCUGUGUUUCCGUGGGCAAUGAUCGCGAUCGAGAUCCGGAUAAAAAAUUUGCACGCAAAUGCAACAACAACGGUAUGAUCCUGAUAGAGAUCUGGUUCAAUUUAUGAUCCGGUCUUUUUGGUUUGUAUCACUGAUAAUAUGGCAUUACGGUUUGUAUAAAAAAAACUGUCAAACAGUAAAUUUUCUUAGUAUUACAUUUUCCGAUAGGACACGGUUCAAGUAGACCUGUUUCAGAUACUAUAGGGUAUCCAAAGAUUUAAAUCCUUCUAGAAUUGCAACAUCAUCGGCAUACCUACAGCUUUUACAGAAAUCUGAAUGCAGAUGCUUAGUAAGGCCUUAUCUAAUACAUUUUUUAAGUUCUCGUACUUCUUAGUGAUCUGAAUAGUAUCGAGUAUGGAAAAGUAUGUUUUUAAUACUGUUGAGCAAUUUGAGUAUUCGAUGAGUAUUGACAAAAUUAUGUCGAUACUUCGAUACUCAAAUAUCAUCGUUAAAAUAUAUUUUCAUAACAAGCGUCGCCAAGGCAAAGUAACGGGUUGCAAAAUUUACAAUGGCUCACAAAAUUGUUUACCGUCUGCCUUAGUCGGGGGUAGUCAAUGUAUUCAAGAAGAUUUAUUGGAGAGACAUCGAGAUCCCCAAAUAGCUGAAAUAGUUAGAAAUAUUUAUGGUAAGUAUAUAAAGGUAACAAUAAGCCUCAAAAGCAGUUCAGUAGUUUUUGUGCAAUGUUUUCAAUUGAAAAUAUUUUUACUAAAAAAGUCACUAUGAGUAAGAGAACAAUAUUAAAAGUCAUACGAUUUUUACCGAUUUUAGUAUAAGGGAUUUUUAACGGAAUAAUGUAAAAGUAUCGAAUAUCGAAUACUUUUAUUUGAUACUUGUUUCCAAAGCAUCGACUAUCGAUCGAUACUUGAAAGUAUCGAAAGUUUACAUUACUAGUAUUUCUUGGCUUCGGGAUACCUCUGAAAUCAAAUGACCUUCCCAUGUGAAUAUGGUAUGAAAAGAGAUCUUAAUUUCAUUUCCACUAACUUUUCAUUGUUUGUUUUUCAGAUUUGUAGGGUACAUACAGUGUAUAAAAGACUGCUACAGUUGCAGCAAUAUUAAAUGAAAAUGAUGACAAAUAGACUGCGCCAGAAGCCUCUCGCUCAAUGCUCUCUCGCCAACAGCAACUCGACUUUAGUUGUUAUUUUCGUCCCUUGAAUGAAUUGUUUGCGUAUGUGUUUGACAGUGUUGAGUUUUGGCUUGUCUCUCGCGUGAGCACCGCAGCUAUAUAACCAGCAAGAGACACCAGCAGAAGUCAGUAAAAAUUAUGCCUUUGAACAGAAUACAACAAAGCAAAUAGUAGAACAAGGAGUUAAAAAACCAAAACCAAAGUGAUUAUUUCAAAAAGUUCCAACUAAGAACUGAAAAUAUUAAAAGACAUUUUGAGCAAAGAACAAAUCUUAAAACUAGAUGCCUAACCGAUUGCCAAUUAAACCACCACCACAGAUGCACUCUUCGCAGUUGGACCACUCUCCUAGUCGGCCACACUCACAAUCGUCCACAUUCAGCAGCAGAUGCAAUUGCUCACACUAUCCAUCAUCAUCACCAGCACCGAGCUCUCAUCCCUAUUGCGUUGUUUGUAUGGCAGUGCAAAAUCGGUAUGCAUAAUCUAUUUAUGUAUGUCCCAUUUUCAAAGUCUUGGCGAAACACAACAAGUGGUGAUAUAAAAGUCAAUAGUUAUGUUGUAAAAGUAGUUCGUGGUUUGUAAUUGGAAGAGUUGAUUGCAGCAGACAAGAGCCAACAAUCGCCAGAAAUGAAGAACGCAUAAAUGCGCCACCAAGAAGCAGCAGAAAAGCACAACGAAUUCAAGGGACAAUUAAUUUUCCUCAAAAGCGACUGAAUUCCGAAUUUAUCUGAGUGUUAUUUAGGAUUACAACUUAGGAUUUUUACAACUACCCCAAUGUGUACAUAUGAGGCAUUAUAAAUCAGUCAAAAGUGAAAUGUGAUGAAAGUGCUUAAUACGAUAUAAACAAAAGUGAAUAUACAUAUAAACUUUCUGGAUAUAAAUUAAGUUUUUCUUAUACUCAAAUACAUAAGGUCAAUUAUUUAGCAUAGAAUCCAGAAAGUUUAAACAACCAAAAUUUAGCAUUAACUCAGAAUUAAAUAAAAUUAUAAUUAUCAGUUUUGCAUAUAAGCCGUAAUAUUGACGAUACUACAUUUUAUUAACGUUGUUCAUGUAUGAAAUUACAACCGCAAGGGUAUUUAUUCCCGCCCUGAAAACUCUCGAAAAUAUCGUUACUCUCGAAGCUUUAACUGAACUAUAAAAAUUUAUAUGAAAAAUACUGCGGUGUUUUGAGUUUAAGAAAUUUACCAAAUAAGUACUUGUAAAAUCAGAACUUUUGCAUUUAUCAAACCAAAAACUAUAAAUUUGCAUUUGUACUAGUAUGUAGUAUAUAUACAUAUGUAUGUACAGACUUAUUUUAUCAGUAAAUGUGGCAGCAAACGUUUUGUAAGAAUUCAUUCAGACUUUAAAAAAUCUAUGAAAUUUUUAUUAAUGUUUAGUACGGAUGUACAUACAUACUACAUAUGUCUAUUUUAUGAAUUAUAAGCAUACACGAGUUUAUAUCUGCAAAUUUUUAUGAGCAAAUAGUAAAUGUAAAAAAUAAAUAUCAAUGCUCUUUAUUUUUUAUCAUACACUUAAAUAUUGUUCUCGUGAUGGGCAAAAUUGUAUUUACGAAAUACCAAGUAUGCACUAAGUACAAAAGUAUUUAGGUAUUUAGUAAAUAAUCAAGUACUUAAGCAACUUGGAUAUCAUUAAAUACCGAGUACAUAUAAAAGUGUUUAGCUACUUUUACUUAACUAAAUACCGCUUACAAACGUACUUAGAAUUUAUGGCUUCACUAAAUACUGUAUGCAAAAGAAAUAUUGUAAGACACCAAAAAAUUUAACACUAAGAACCACUUCAAUCCCAGAAAAAAUAAAAAAGUUC